GACGAACGCUGGCGGCGUGCUUAACACAUGCAAGUCGAACGGAAAGGCCCUGCUUUUGUGGGGUGCUCGAGUGGCGCACGGGUGAGUAACACGUGAGUAACCUGCCCUUGACUUUGGGAUAACUUCAGGAAACUGGGGCUAAUACCGGAUAGGAGCUCCUGCUGCAUGGUGGGGGUUGGAAAGUUUCGGCGGUAGGGGAUGGACUCGCGGCUUAUCAGCUUGUUGGUGGGGUAGUGGCUUACCAAGGCUUUGACGGGAAGCCGGCCUGAGAGGGUGACCGGCCACAAUGGGACUGAGAUACGGCCCAGACUCCUACGGGAGGCAGCAGUGGAGAAUAUUGCACAGUAGGCGGAAGCCUGAUGCAGAAACGCCGCGUGCGGGAUGACGGCCUUCGGGUUAUAAACCGCUUUCGCAUGUGACGAAGCGUGAGUGACGGUAAUGGGUAAAAAAGCACCGGCUAACUACGUG
rnacentral:rRNA from 1 species